rnacentral:rRNA from 1 species
GACGAACCGAGCGAACGUUGUUCGGAAUCACUGGGCUUAAAGGGCGCGUAGGCGGGCUGUCAAGUUUGGGGUGAAAUCCCGCGGCUCAACCGUGGAACUGCCUCAAAUACUGACGGUCUCGAGGGAGGUAGGGGCGAGCGGAACUGAUGGUGGAGCGGUGAAAUGCGUUGAUAUCAUCAGGAACUCCGGUGGCGAAGGCGGCUCGCUGGACCUCUUCUGACGCUGAGGCGCGAAAGCCAGGGGAGCAAACGGG